UGAAGAUAGGUGAUUCAAAGACAUCUGUGC
rnacentral:piRNA from 1 species